AUCAACACAUUUUUACCAACAAGAAGUAAGUUGGUUUAUUCUUGUAGCAUAAAAAUCUGUGCUUUGGGAUUCGACAAAUUCUUGGAAAGCAUUUUCUGCCUCCUGCUGGGUGUGGAAGUGCUUUCCCUGCAGAAAGUUGUCGAGAUGCAUGAAGAAGUGGUAGUUGGUUGGCAAGAGGUCAGGUGAAUAUGGCUGAUGAGGCAAAAUUUUGAAACCCAAUUCAUUCAACUUUUGAAGCAUUGAGUUUGGGACUUCGCAGUCA